rnacentral:rRNA from 1 species
UGGCAGACGGCUGAGUAAUACAUGGGAAUCUACCUCAAACUCGAGAAUAGCCCAUCGAAAGGUGGUGUAAUACUCGAUAGUUCCGUUUACGGUAAAGCUCCGGCGGUUUGAGAUGAGCCCAUGUCCUAUCAGGUUGUUGGUGGGGUAAUUGCCUACCAAGCCUAUGACGGGUAGCUGGUUUGAGAGGAUGAUCAGCCAGACUGGGACUGCGAUACGGCCCAGACUCCUACGGGAGGCAGCAACUAGGAAUCAUGCGCAAUGGACGAAAGUCUGACGCUGCGACGUCGCGUGAGGGAUGAAGGUCUUCGGAUCGUAAACCUCUUUUAUCUGGGAACAAGUUCUGAGUGUACCAGAUGAAUAAGUGCCUGCCAACCACGUGCCAGAAGCAUCGGUAAUGCGUGGGGCACGAGCGUUAUCCGGAUUUACUGGGCGUAAAGAGAUGCGUAGGCGCCUUCUUAAGUCACUUGUACAAUCUCCCCGCUCAACGGGGAAACUGCAAGUGAUACUGAAUUGCUUGAGUCAAGUAGAGGAGAGGGGAAUUCCUGGUGGAGCGGUUAAAUGCGUUGAUAUCAGGAGGAAUACCAAGUGCGAAGGCACCUCUCUGGACUUGUACUGACGCUAAGGCUCGAAAGUGUGGGGAGCAAAACGGAUUAGAUACCCGUGUAGUCCACACUGUAAACGAUCCCUGCUAGAUGUUUGC